GUAUAACCAGUUAGUAGCAGCCCAGCCUCUUUUUGAAGGUGUCCAGAGGAGGAGACCCCACCAUCUUUCUAGAUGGCCCAAAGAGAUGUUGGCCCUUAAACUGGAAUAUCUCAAUGGCAUCUCUGCUUAUCUGGAUAAUGUGAACAACUGACAAUUUGGUGCCCUUUAAUGGAACCUCAACACCUGAAUUCAACUUAAGAAUCACUUCACUCUAAAACUGAAAGAAUCUCUAUAAAGAAGAGAAAAGCCAACGUCUACCAAGAGCCUCACAUUGUUGGCCACUUCAGACACUACGGAUUUUAGAUAUGAAGCAGAAAUACAAUAGAAGUGCAUUUGCAAGUACAUCUAUUAUCUAAGUAAAUUCACCAGAAAGCCAGAAGCUCCCCAUAGAGUAUACUCAGGACAAAUCUGGAUAUGGCUUACGAGUGUUGUCUAAAAUAGCCUAUGGCAUACUUAACAUUAAGAUUAAUCCAUCCCUAGCUCCCAUUAAACUGACCAUUGUCUCGCCCUGCA